GACGAACGCUGGCGGCGUGCUUAACACAUGCAAGUCGAGCGAUGAGAGAAGAGCUUGCUCUUCUGGAUCAGACGCGAACGGGUGAGUAACACGUGCGUAACCUCACCCAGACACAGGAAUAAGCGCUGUAGACGACGUCUACUACCGGAUAUGAGACAGCGCUGCAUGGCUAUUAUAUCUGCGGUGUUUCAGUCUGGGAUGGACUCGCGGCCUCUCAACUUGUUGGUGAGGUAACGGCUCACCAAGGCAACGACGGGUAGCCGGCCUGAGAGGGCGACCGGCACAACGGGGACUGAGACACGGCCCAGACUCCUACGGGAGGCAGCAGUGGGGAAGAUUGCACGAUGGGGGCAAGCCGGAUGCAGCGACGCCGCGUGAGGGAUUAUGGCCUUCGGUUAUAAAACCACUUUCAGCAGUAAAGAAGCGAAAGUGACGGUACCUGCAGAAGAAGCACCGGCUAACUACGUG
rnacentral:rRNA from 1 species